GACAGAGGUGCCGAGCGUUAGGCGGAAUCACUGGGCUUAAAGCGUGUGUAGGCGGGCCGUUAAGUGUCUUGUGAAAUCCCCCGGCUCAACCGGGGAAUUGCUGGGCAUACUGGCGGCCUUGAGCGAUCUAGGGGCAGAUGGAACAAGUGGUGGAGCGGUGAAAUGCGUAGAUAUCACUUGGAACGCCAAAGGUGAAGACAGUCUGCUGGGGAUCUGCUGACGCUGAGACACGAAAGCCAGGGGAGCGAACGGG
rnacentral:rRNA from 1 species